AGUGAUUUGUUUUUAUAUCCCUUUGACUUAUCCGAAAAGUUGGACUUAGUCCUUCCAGUUUCAUUUUCACCCAACUAAACCUUCGAUUUGCAAAUGGAUUUCAAUGUCAUCCUUCCGUUGGCUCCUGUCAGUAAUUUGGACGGAAAAGGGCCAUAUGUCCAUCACAUGAGCCUCCCCAAGGGCAUAUUUGCCCAUUCCCCUCCCUCCCCUAACCCUAAACGAUUUCCCACUCUUCUUUCUUUUUCAGUCUUUCUCACUCUACCCCCCACUUCACAUGACCUAAUUUCUCCUAACCCAAAAAGCUGAGACGACGAAGGGGGAAUUGUGGUUGAGUAAGAGUGAGAUGACGACAGGGGAAUCGUGGUCGAUUUCCCAGACGAUCAAGAAGCAUGCCAAGGAACAGAGAAAAAACCCUAGGUGAGUGAUUCUUUGGUUAUCUGUAGAAUAAACGGCAUAAAUUUUAGGAAGAAAUCGAUACAAGUGGUCUUUUUCAGUAAAGAAAAAUUAUUUUUUUGAACAGAUAUUCUUUAUUGGGUUCUCGAUUGGGUUUAUUGCAUGUGUCGGUUGCCUUCUUUUUUCUUUUUUUUUGGAAAAGCUCUGGCUUUUUUGUCAGUUGUAGUGCUUCUUUCUGAUUGUGGUCCCAUAAACAUUGUUCAAUCAUAUGCAAGAGGCGAUUUCACUAUAUAGAUUCAUCAUGGGGGAAAGUUUUUUUAUAGGCCCAGAAUCAGGUACGAAGGUGGCUCUGUUGCAUAUUGUGAUGAAUGUGACCCACAAAAAAUGUCUUUAAUAGUAGUUGGUGAUAUUGACGAGAAACUGGGGUACACGGGUAUGAUCAAUUAUUACUAUGUGAUGACUGGGAAAAACAUUAACAAUGGAUUGAGAAUGUUAUUGACUGACAGUGAUGUAAUAGAGAUGAUUGAGCAACUUUCCCCAAGCAGGAUAGUGGACAUGUAUGUAGAACCAAUUAAUCUCAUUCAAAUAAUGGAAAGUCAAACUGAUGAGGGGGGGUCCAACUCCAACUGAUAAGGGGGUCCAACUUAAACUGAUAAGAGGUGUACAACUAAUAAGGGGGGUCCAACUGAUAAAGAAUUAUUGUGAAGAGAUAAGGAGAACAAACCUUAACACCGCAAUCAUCAUGAAAACAUUACCUUCUCCAACUCCAAAUGGUCAGCCAAUAUUUGAGAGACUUUAUGUAUGUUUGGGGGCAUUAAAGCCAGGAAUGCUAGCUGGUUGCAGAAGGCUGAUAUGUAUGGAUGCAUAUCACUUGAAAGGAGCACAUGGAGGUCAGUUGUUAGUUGUUGUGGGUAUUGAUGCUAAUAAUCAGUCAUUCCCAUUUGCAUAUGUUGUUGCUGAGAGUGAAACCAAGGACACAUGGACUUGGUUUUUGGAGUUGGUGGUUGAAGACCUAUAAAUUCAGAACACAAGUGCAUGGACAUUCAUGACAGACAAACAAAAGCAUUACAAGAGAAGUGGUGCCAAAUGCAGAGAUGAGAUUCAACACUAGGCACUUGUAUACAUCUUUCAGUGAUUUGCACAAGGGGAUGGAGUUGAAGAAACAAUUAUGGACAGCAGCUAGAGCUACAACAGUUCUGGAUUUUCAUAAAGCAAUGGAAAUAAUGAGGAGUAUUGAUGUGGAGGCAUACAACUGGCUAGCAAAAAAACCAGCCACGCAAUGGUCCAGGUCCGCUGGCAAACCAAAGAAAUCUAGAAGAAAGGAAAGAAAAGAGUUGGAGAAUCAUGCUGCAGAUAAGUUGAAGAGACAUAAUACUUCAUUGCGGUGUGGCAAAUGUGGUCAAUGGGGCCAUAAUAUCAAGAGAUGCAAAAAUGAAGUCAAUCCUGAAAUUAGGAGGAGGCCUAGUGGAGGGUUAGUAUUUAGUAGGCCAACUGGAAAGCCAAGAGGAAGGCUAAGGUAAGGAGGAAGCCAAGCAUCUAGUAGCAGAGGAAGGGGACUUCUUGUUGCACCAACUGAAGUAGGCCAAGCAUUUACUAGCAGGGAAGGGGUGGCGGUGGAAAGGGUGAUUGUGGAAGGGGAAGGGGAAGGAGUGUUGGAAGGGGCAGGGGUUUUGGAAGGGGUACGGGUUUUAGAAGCACUUCUCUCAAUCACAAAGCAGUACCUGCUUAAGCUUCACAACCACCAGCACCAGCUCAAUAUUAAGUUAGAACUUGUUUCUCAUUUUGAUUCCUUGGCAUUAGACAUGAUAGACUUCUGUCAUUGUGCACAAUUGGUUUAUUUUGUUCGCCAAGUAGGUUUUUGUAAUGUUUGGAUAUUGAAUGGUUGGUUGACAAGUAGGCUUUUGUGUUGACUGGAUAUUGAAUGGUUGGUUGCCAAGUAGGUUUUUGUGUUAACUGAAUAUUGAAUAAUUGGUUGGCAAGUUGGUGUUUGGUUUAUGUAUUGACUGAUGUUGAACGGUUGUAUUGCAUUGAUUUUGGCAGGUACCAAUUUUUGGUUACUUGAAUAUUAUAGUCAAUGCAACUGUCUUCUU